GCUGGGCGUGGUGGUGCAUGCCUGUAGUCCCAGCUACUAGGGAGGCUGAGGCAGAAGAAUCGCUUGAACCCAGGAGGCGGAGGUUGCAGUGAGCUGAGAUCCCGCCACUGCACUCCAGCCUGGGUGACAGAGCAAGACUCCGUCUCCA
rnacentral:SRP_RNA from 1 species